UUUAUACUCCCUCCGUCCGGAAAUACUUGUCCUAAAGAUGAAUGUAUGUAGAUUUAUUUUAGUUAUAGAUACAUUCAUUAUAUCCAUUUCUAGGACAAGUAUUUCCGGACGGAGGGAGUAUGAA
rnacentral:pre_miRNA from 1 species